rnacentral:rRNA from 1 species
CAUGUCCUUUUGAGUAUAAUUUAAGGUCUAAUCUGCUCAAUGAAGUUUAAAUAGCCGCAGUAUUUUGACUGUGCAAAGGUAGCAUAAUAAUUAGUUUCUUGAUUAGAAGCUGGAAUGAAUGAUUGGACAAGAAAAUUUCUGUCUCUUUUUCAGAUUUUUUGAAUUUUAUUUUUAAGUGAAAAAGCUUAAAUUUUUAUAAAAGACGAGAAGACCCUAUAGAGUUUAAUAUUUUUAAAUGAAUUUAAUAUUAGAAUUUAAUUUUAUUUAAUUUUAUUUGGUUGGGGUGAUUUAAAGAUUUGACAAAUUCUUUAAUAUGUGAAUUGGGGAUUUCUAAAUUUUAAAUCUAUAUUUUAUAAAUAUAAAAUAAAUUACCUUAGGGAUAACAGCGUAAUUUUUCUUUAUAGUUCUUAUUGAAAGAAAAUUUUGCGACCUCGAUGUUGGAUUAAAAUUAAUUUUUGGUGCAGUAGCUUAAAAAUUAGGUCUGUUCGACCUUUAAAAUUUUACAUGAUCUGAGUUUAAACCGGUGUAAACCAGGUUGGAUUCUAUCUUUAGAAAGAUAAUAUAUUUUAGUACGAAAGGACAGAAUAUAUAUUAAAUUAAUUG